rnacentral:tRNA from 1 species
GCGGGGGUACCCGAGCCAGGUCUAAAUAGCGGCUGAAACCCUAGGAAAAGGGGGAGGACUUAAGAGAUCAUCCAUAGGAGAUCCUCUGGCGAAGGCCUCCGCGGGUUCGAAUCCCGCCCCCCGCACCA